GUAAAGUGUCGUUUGUAGCUAAUCCAUCUCAAUGAGCUCUUUGUUUUCAGGCCUGUAUUAUCCUCCUGGGCUGAGCAAACCAGCGUUAGCCUCUGAGAUUUAAUCGCUGAGAUAUGGCAGGUGACAGUACAUGAUUUGGAUCCUUCACAGUUCCAAGCAUGCUCUUUUUUCCCACCCAUCCUUCUGGAAGAGUUGCCUGCCUCCUGGAAAGUGUUCUUCAAUAGGCUACAGGUGGGCAAGGAGGUUUUUUUUCUUUACCAUGGAAAGGAUCCUGCGAUCAUCCACCACUGUCAACAGGAGCUGUCCAGGCC